UGAUCCUCGGGGGGCAGCAGUGGGGAAUAUUGGGCAAUGGGCGCAAGCCUGACCCAGCAACGCCGCGUGAAGGAAGAAGGCUUUCGGGUUGUAAACUUCUUUUCUCAGGGACGAAGAAAGUGACGGUACCUGAGGAAUAAGCCACGGCUAACUACGUGCCAGCAGUCGCGGUAAUACGUAGGUGGAAAGCGUUAUCCGGAUUUACUGGGUGUAAAGGGCGUGUAGGCGGGACUGCAAGUCAGAUGUGAAAACCACGGGCUCAACCUGUGGCCUGCAUUUGAAACUGUAGUUCUUGAGUACUGGAG
rnacentral:rRNA from 1 species